AAAUUAAAUAAUACAUUUAUUAAUGUUAGAAUAUGAUUGUUUUAUAUUUUAAUGGUGAAAAAAUCAAAAUUUUACAUGAUAUUUUUAGUAUAAAAUUUUAUAAGGAUUUCUUGAAAAAAUAAUGACAAAAUUGAUAGUUUUUCGUAACUUCAAAUGUUAUAACUUUUCCAAUUCUUAUCAAAAUGUAUACAAUUUGGUAUAAAAACAAAGAUAUGAAAAAGACAAGGCCCCUACAACACCCAGUAAUAUGUUACGAAUGUAUAUUUGUUAAUGAAGGUUUUGUGUUUUUUAUUGAAAUUUUGGAUUUUUAUUUGCAUAUUUUUUAUAUUCUAACAGACGAUCAUUAAAUAUGAUAGAUAAACAAGUAGAAAAGAAUAUAGUAAUACAUAAUACUCUCCUCAUAUGUAAUACUCUCCUUAAACGUAAAUCAAAUUGUUUAAACCGGAUAUGAUGAUUAAAUUCUAUUUUGCUUUUUCAAUUUGGUUGCCAGCUUCAACCUAAUUCUUUAUUUAGAACUAUGAUUUUGAACUAAAACAUUUCCGUGUUGAAUAAAAUACUAUUUAUUCUUAACUAUAUAUUUUUUGAGGCUUCAGUUAUCAAAUGCUGGUGGUAAUUUUAGUUAGUAAUUUUAGUGCCACUGUGAAAGCGUCGAUUGUUAAGCAGACAUAAAAAGUUUGAAGUAUGCACAAAGCCUGAAAGUGUCAAAUAUGGAACCUAAAAAAACCUGCCUUUGCCACUAACUGUAUUAAGGUUUUUUAAGGUCUGUUUGUCAAACGUCAAGUCAGGUUAUCUUGCUACUGGUACCAUGUAGUACAUCCUGAUUAAGCAGGGUGUACGCCAUCCAUACGACGUUUGGGCAUCUGUUUGUAAAAUAUUACUGCAAAUCUUUUUGAGAGAGCCAUUACUAUGGAGAACCAUCUAAACCAUACAAGUGUAGAAACAUGGAUAUUAAUGUGAAAUUAAAAAAAAAGUUUUUGUGAAAC